UAUUCGCAAUUGACCGCUAUCUUUGUGACCUCUUACAAGUUCGGUUUAUAUAUAAUAUACAAUAAAUUUAGAUCGUUCGUAUCAUUGCCUGUAAUGUACUUUAAGACGCAUUUAUUGUAAAACAGCUUUAAAUAUGGAUAAAUCUUUACUAAUAUUAAUUUGUGUUUCCGUCUUUAUACUAGUAAGCGAUACGAAACCAAGAUACAAAACUUUGGAACUUGAACCACUUUUGGAACCAGAAGUUAUUAGCGCUCUGAAAGAACACAAAAGAAUACCACGGCAGCAUUCAAAGGACGAUUUUAUGUAACGUAUUUGGAGGAACAUGCUGUAUAACUGUCGUAAUUGCGAUAUCGAUAAUAUUGAAAAUGGUAUUGGAAAUAACAACGAAGUCUACGUAAGCUAUAGUAAUUAAUGUCAAUUGGGAUGAGAAAUGAUUGGCAAAUAAAAAACAUGAGAAUUU